GACGAACGCUGGCGGCGUGCUUAACACAUGCAAGUCGAACGGAAAGGCCCUGCGGGGUUCUCGUGUGCGGAACGCGAGCGGGUCAGGAAGACGUGCGGCACCGCACUUUGGGUUUAGGAUGACUUACUGGGACUAAUGCUGAUACCGGAUACGAGCUUCUUCGUCUGUGUGGGAAAGGUUUAGUUUCGGCGGUUGGGGAUGGGCUCGCGGCUUAUCAGCUUGUUGGUGGGGUAGUGGCUUACCAAGGCUGUGACGGGUAGCCGGCCUGAGAGGGUGACCGGCCACAUUGGGACUGAGAUACGGCCCAGACUCCUACGGGAGGCAGCAGUGGGGAAUAUUGCACAAUGGGCGGAAGCCUGAUGCAGCAACGCCGCGUGCGGGAUGACGGCCUUCGGGUUGUAAACCGCUUUCGACUGUGACGAAGCGUGAGUGACGGUAACUGGUAAAGAAGCACCGGCUAACUACGUG
rnacentral:rRNA from 1 species